rnacentral:rRNA from 1 species
CAUACGGGGGGCAGCAGUGGGGAAUAUUGGACAAUGGGGGCAACCCUGAUCCAGCCAUGCCGCGUGUGUGAAGAAGGCCCUCGGGUUGUAAAGCACUUUCAGUGAGGAAGAACGCCUGGUGGUUAAUACCCAUCAGGAAAGACAUCACUCACAGAAGAAGCACCGGCUAACUCCGUGCCAGCAGCCGCGGUAAUACGGAGGGUGCGAGCGUUAAUCGGAAUUACUGGGCGUAAAGCGCGCGUAGGUGGCUUGAUAAGCCGGUUGUGAAAGCCCCGGGCUCAACCUGGGAACGGCAUCCGGAACUGUCAAGCUAGAGUGCAGGAGAGGAAGGUAGAAUUCCCGGUGUAGCGGUGAAAUGCGUAGAGAUCGGGAGGAAUACCAGUGGCGAAGGCGGCCUUCUGGACUGACACUGACACUGAGGUGCGAAAGCGUGGGUAGCAAACAGGAUUAGAUACCCUGGUAGUC